rnacentral:lncRNA from 1 species
GCUGCAGUGGCGCUCCUGUCUGGUAUGCCCAUCUGUUUCUAUUUCUCUCUUUGUCCCCUUCUCUCAUCCAUCCCUUCUCCCCCCAGCCCUGCCAUUGCCCCACCUGAGCGCAUUUGUCAUCCCGACGAUAUGCUUUCUGAGUCCCGGCCUCAGCCUCCCGCUCCAACGCUGAUGGAAAACUUGCAGCAAAAACGCAAAAAGGUCAUUAUCAUCGUUCCAGUGGUUUGCCUCUGCAGGUUGAUGAAACAGAUACAACGCUUGUGAGUACUUCAUUAUUCAUUUGAAUCCAUAAAUGCAAUUAAUUAAGCUUAAGUGUGCAAUAAAUCUGAUUAGCCAGUCGGUUCCCAGAACACCAUAAAAUCCACACAGGUCUUAUUCCCUUUAAUUAAUUUGUGGAGAGGGAGGGGGCAAAUACCCAUGCAUACGUUAAUGUAUGCACACAAACACACACACAGUGCUUGACUAUGACUGAAAUAGGUCCCAGUACUCAUUUUGGGUGCCGGUACAGUUUAUAUUUAGGUACAGGUGCUCCACAAUAAUAUUCUAUAACAGGAACAAGAGCUCUAGCAGUACUCUGCUCCAGUGAGCUCCUACCCAAGUCAAGCACUGUACACACACACACUCUCUGUAACGGCGUUCGUCUGUUGAAGGAGAGUCGGACCAAAAUGCAGCGUGGUGGUUACUCGUGUCUUUUAAUGAAGAAUAGCGAUACAUGAAAUAACUAUAUAUAAACAAAACAACAAACGGAACGCGAAAACCUAUUACAGCCUAUCUGGUGAAACUACACAGAGACAGGAACAAUCACCCACAAAAUACACAGAGAAACCCUGGCUACCUAAAUAUGGUUCCCAAUCAGAGACAACGAGAAUCACCUGACUGAUUGAGAACUGCCUCGGGCAGCCAAGCCUAUGCUAGACACACCCCUAAUCAGCCACAAUCCCAAUGCCUACAAAAACCCCAAUACGACAACACAAUAAACCCAUGUCACACCCUGGCCUGAACAAAUAAUUAAAGAAAACACAAAAUACUAAGACCAAGGCGUGACACUCUCACACACACAAACAGAACGGUAUACACACACUCACAUGUAUACACACACACACACAUGUACACACACACGCACACAAUAUGCAAAGAGCUAUUCAUUGGGGAUGAAAGAUAAACUGGGAUUAAUGUAUGCUAAUAUUAAGGGGCACCACGAACAACAAAAUAUGCAAGGUCAUCAGUAAACCUGAAGUGUAAUUAAUAGAUGGAAUUAGCAACGAAAACAAUAGGGCACUUCAACUGCUUAUUGAUAAAAAAUGACACGUUGGAAAGGAGAAUAGAAAUGGGCUUAUUAAAUGUGUUGACAGCAGUUGUCCCAAAAAUAAAGC